GACGAACGCUGGCGGCGUGCUUAACACAUGCAAGUCGAACGGAAAGGCCCUGCUUUUGUGGGGUGCUCGAGUGGCGAACGGGUGAGUAACACGUGAGUAACCUGCCCUUGACUUUGGGAUAACUUCAGGAAACUGGGGCUAAUACCGGAUAGGAGCUCCUGCUGCAUGGUGGGGGUUGGAAAGUUUCGGCGGUUGGGGAUGGACUCGCGGCUUAUCAGCUUGUUGGUGGGGUAGUGGCUUACCAAGGCUUUGACGGGUAGCCGGCCUGAGAGGGUGACCGGCGACAUUGGGACUGAGAUACGGCGCAGACUCCUACGGGAGGCAGCAGUGGGGAAUAUUGCACAAUGGGCGGAAGCCUGAUGUAGCAACGCCGCGUGCGGGAUGACGGCCUUCGGGUUGUAAACCGCUUUCGCCUGUGACGAAGCGUGAGUGACGGUAAUGGGUAAAGAAGCACCGGCUAACUACGUG
rnacentral:rRNA from 1 species